CCCCGCGGUGCCUUACCUGUCUACUGGGCUUGCAUGGUAUUCAGUGGACCCGGGGAUUAGUUGUGGUGCACGUAAGCUGGCCCGGACACCUCGAAUUAUAAAAAAAUACACACACACACACACACACACACAACGCUACAAAACAGCAGGAAAAUGUUGCAGUGUUAGUUGUCGUAUAAUAUAAACUAUCUUUUCUAACCGUUGUCUUAUUGCCUCUGCAACUUUUCUGAGUGCUUUAAUUAUAUGCUCAUAAAACAAUCAGUUUUGCCUUGAUAGGAGAAGUGGGCAUAUUGAAUGAUGGGCGAGGUCCUUGGUCAGCUAAUCUUGUAAAGCAUUGGAACGCAGCUUGACAAGGAGGCAGAGGAUGCAUGGAGACGGAGACCCAAGUUAAGACGGAACAAUCACUUUGAUGUGAAGCUAUUUCUUCCUCUCUCAUCCUCUGGCAAUGAGGAGAUGAGAGCAAAAAUAGUUUUGUGGGUAUUUUUAAAAUAUUAAUUUUGCGAGGAAUUAUUAUUAUGGUAAAUCAUAUGAAAAAAAAUAAAAAAUCAAUACACUUUCCACCUUAUAUACGUUUCUAUGCCCAAAAGAAAGAGAACCUUAUUCUUGUCCCCCUAUCCUUUUAAUUUUAUUUUUUUCUCUUUUUUUUCUCUUUUGGAUAUUGCUCGUCUCUCUAUCCGUAAGUGGAAGCCUAGAACACGAAACUGCAAAGCAUGCCUCCCUUCUUUUCUUUUCUUUUUAUUUUGGCGAUAUUAGGAUCACUAGAUCGUUCCGAGAAACCUCCAGAGCUCAAAUACAUGUCCCUUUAAGGCAACAAAGAAUUACAAGGUAGGUGAUGAGAUUGUGAUAUUUUAUUGAUUUGAUUUAGCUUUUCAUCGGCAUCAUUAGAGGCCUAAAAAGAUGCUUUGAGAUCCAAAUUACCUUUUUAUAACAUAAUUUUUAAAAGGGGUAUCGCAAUAUUCAAGCCACUCGCGUACCUUUUAGACAUAAUUAACAAUUUCAUGAAUUCAACUGGGUUGCAUGUUGCUUCACCGCCCUGACUUUACACAAAAGCAAAAAGGAUAAAAGGUAAUCACCUCUUCUGGCCUUCAACAAGGUUCCGCUCGUGUCGUCUUGCUUUUUAUCUUGUAAAAAAUUCCCAUGCUUUACAUGCAAAAAUAGCUGGAGAUGCUCUCCUUUAGUUUUAGCAGGUUUUGCAACCCUCAAAAGUAAAAGCCAGAGCCCUGUUUGUUCCAAAACUACGAUAGGGCAAGUCCCUGUCAGCCUUUCAACCCCCG
rnacentral:lncRNA from 1 species